AGGGCGCAUGGGGGAUGCCUAGGCUCUCAGAGGCGAAGAAGGACGUGAUAAGCUGCGAAAAUCUGCGGGGAUCUGCUAUAGGAAAUGAUCCGCGGGUGUCCGAAUGGGGUAACCCAUCUGGCUGAAGGCCGGAUAUGCUACAGUGAUGUAGCAAGCAAACCCAGGGAACUGAAACAUCUAAGUACCUGGAGGAGGAGAAAACAACAGUGAUUGCGCCAGUAGUGGCGAGCGAAAGCGCAAGAGCCCAAACCUGAGUAGUUAAGGCUGCUUAGGGGUAAAAGGACCACGUAAUUGAAUCUGCACUGACUGGAACUGCAUGGGAAGGCAGGCCGCAGCGGGUGAUAGCCCCGUACAGGAAGGUAAGGAGGAGAGGUGGGAUCCUGAGUAGGGCGGGGUCGGAGACGCCCCGUUUGAAUUUGCCGGCACCAUCCGGUAAGGCUAAAUACUACUGAGAGACCGAUAGUGAACCAGUACUGUGAAGGAAAGGUGAAAAGCACUCCGAAUAGGAGGGUGAAAGGAGAACCUGAAACCAUGCGCUUACAAGCGGUCGGAGCUCUGUGAUGGAGUGACGGCGUGCCUUUUGCAUAAUGAGCCUACGAGUUACUGUCACUGGCGAGGUUAACCGCGUAUACGUGGGCAGCCGAAGCGAAAGCGAGUCUGAAUAGGGCGAAUAGUCAGUGGUAGUAGACGCGAAACUUUGUGAUCUACCCUUGGUCAGGAUGAAGCCUCGUUAACACGGGGUGGAGGUCCGAACUAUUGAGCGUUGAAAAGCUCUUGGAUGAACUGAGGGUAGGGGUGAAAGGCUAAUCAAACUGAGAAAUAGCUCGUACUCCCCGAAAUGUUUUUAGGAACAGUGUGAGGGUUGAGUUUAGUACAGGUAGAGCUACCAAUUGGACUAGGGGGAGUCACAUCCUACCAAAUCCAGAUGAACUCCGAAUGGUACUAAAUAUACCUUGCAAUGAGGGCAUGGGUGCUAAGGUCCGUGUCCGAGAGGGAAAGAACCCAGACCUGCAGCUAAGGUCCCAAAAUCUAUACUAAGUUGAACUAAGGCGGUCCAGUUGCUGAGACAGCCAGGAUGUUGGCUUGGAAGCAGCCAUUCAUUUAAAGAGUGCGUAACAGCUCACUGGUCGAGCGACAGGGCAUCGAUAAUAAUCGGGCAUAAAGUAUAGUACCGAAGCUCAGGAUUGAUACAGCGAUGUAUCAGUGGUAGGGGAGCAUUCCGAAUGCGGAGAAGAUAAGUUGUAAGACUUGUUGGAGUAAUCGGAAAAGCAAAUGUAGGCAUAAGUAACGAUAAUGCUGGUGAGAAACCGGCACACCGAUAGACUAAGGGUUCCGCGGCAAUGUUAAUCAACCGCGGGUAAGUCGGGGCCUAAGCAGUAGCCGAGAGGCGAAUGUGAUGGACAACUGGUUAAUAAUCCAGUACUACCUUAAAGAGCGAUGGAGAGACGGAGAAGUGACAGUUCCACGAUCUGACGGAAUAGAUCGUUUAAGGGUUUAGGUAUAGGGUUUGCAGGUAAAACCGCAGACUUUGCUGAGACCUGAAAGUAGCGUUUGGCUUCGGCCGGAUGCAGUGAACGUAAUCAGGCUUCCGAGAAAAUCUUCUAAGCAUAUUGAUAAGGUACCCGUACCGCAAACCGACACAGGUAGUCAAGGAGAAUAUCCUAAGGUGCUCGAGUGAAUCGUGGCUAAGGAACUCGGCAAAAUAACCCUGUAACUUCGGGAGAAGGGGAGUCCCGCGCAAGCGGGAUCGCAGAGAAAUGGCCCAGGCGACUGUUUAACAAAAACACAUGGCUAUGCGAAAUCGAAAGAUGAGGUAUAUGGCCUGACACCUGCCCGGUGCUGGAAGGUUAAGGGGGGACGUUAGCCAGCAAUGGCGAGGCGUUGAACUGAAGCCCCAGUAAACGGCGGCCGUAACUAUAACGGUCCUAAGGUAGCGAAAUUCCUUGUCGGGUAAGUUCCGACCUGCACGAAUGGUGUAACGAUCUGGGCGCUGUCUCAGCCGCGAGCUCGGUGAAAUUGUAGUAACGGUGAAGAUGCCGUUUACCCGUCACGGGACGGAAAGACCCCAUGAACCUUUACUAUAGCUUCACAUUGGUAUUGGGAGAAUGAUGUGUAGGAUAGGUGGGAGGCGUUGAUCCAGGGCCGCUAGGUUUUGGGGAGUCGACGGUGAAAUACCACCCUUUAUUUUCUUGAUGCCUAAUCCCGCAAAAGCGGGAGACAUUGUGUGGUGGGUAGUUUGACUGGGGUGGUCGCCUCCGAAAGUGUAUCGGAGGCUUUCAAAGGUAUGCUCAGUACGCUUGGUAACCGUACGUGGAGUGCAAUAGCACAAGCAUGCUUGACAGUGAGAGAGACGUUUCGAGCUGGUGCGAAAGCAGGAUAUAGUGAUCCGGUGGUUCUGUAUGGAAGGGCCAUCGCUCAAAGGAUAAAAGGUACUCUGGGGAUAACAGGCUGAUCUCCCCCAAGAGCUCAUAUCGACGGGGAGGUUUGGCACCUCGAUGUCGGCUCGUCACAUCCUGGGGCUGGAGAAGGUCCCAAGGGUUGGGCUGUUCGCCCAUUAAAGU
rnacentral:rRNA from 1 species